UCAACCGGGGAGGGUCAUUGGAAACUGGGGAACUUGAGUGCAGAAGAGGAGAGUGGAAUUCCACGUGUAGCGGUGAAAUGCGUAGAGAUGUGGAGGAACACCAGUGGCGAAGGCGACUCUCUGGUCUGUAACUGACGCUGAGGAGCGAAAGCGUGGGGAGCGAACAGGAUUAGAUACCCUGGUAGUCCACGCCGUAAACGAUGAGUGCUAAGUGUUAGGGGGUUUCCGCCCCUUAGUGCUGCAGCUAACGCAUUAAGCACUCCGCCUGGGGAGUACGGUCGCAAGACUGAAACUCAAAGGAAUUGACGGGGGCCCGCACAAGCGGUGGAGCAUGUGGUUUAAUUCGAAGCAACGCGAAGAACCUUACCAGGUCUUGACAUCCUCUGACAAUCCUAGAGAUAGGA
rnacentral:rRNA from 2 species